rnacentral:sRNA from 1 species
AUCCUUAGAGUUUAGAUUGACGGCAUGAUUUUGAUAAAAAGAA